ACCGGGCAUUGGGUGAUGGUGGAGGGUUGCAGGCCUGACUCUGAAAGGCUGGUGAGCUGUCUUGGCCCACCCUGUGAGGGACUGCUCUCCAGCAAGGGGUUUGUGACAUGCUGCUAAAUCAUAAAGAUGUCCCUGGCUUGGGCUGGGAUGCCCUGGGUUUCCUCACAUUUUACUAUGUGAGAGAGGGACAGAGGAUGGGAAUACUGGAGAGGUAAGCAAACUAUUCUUGAACCAUGUAUACUAUCUCAGGCUUUGCACCCAAGUAAGGACAUUAUGGUGAAAAAGAUCAAGUCCUUGAUCACGGCCCAGAGGAAGAGACACAAUCACAGGGGACAGGGUCAGGGAAAGCACCAAGAGUAUUUGAGCAGGGUCUUGAGAUGGUCUUGGAUCAUCCAGAUGGGCCUGAUGUAAUCACAGAAGUCUUAAUAAGAGGGGCUCAGGAAGGUCAGACAGAAGAGAAGGCAGUGUGAUGAUGGAGGCAAAGACUGGAGUGAUACAGCCACAAGCCAAGGAGUGAUGGUAGCCUCUAGAAUUUCACCAGGAAGAGAAGGGACGGGAGUGUGGCCAUUUACCUCCCAUCACAGCCAGUCCUCUGCUCCUCCAACUGAAAGAUAAAAUGGCCACACACAUGUCACUGCGCCAGUGCCAUCUGGAAGUUCACCUCAGGCGCCAGGGCACCCCAAGCCCCAUCAG